rnacentral:rRNA from 1 species
AUUGAACGCUGGCGGCAGGCCUAACACAUGCAAGUCGAACGAGUGGCGGACGGGUGAGUAAUGUCUGGGAAACUGCCUGAUGGAGGGGGAUAACUACUGGAAACGGUAGCUAAUACCGCAUACCAUCGGAUGUGCCCAGAUGGGAUUAGCUAGUAGGUGGGGUAAAGGCUCACCUAGGCGACGCUCCCUAGCUGGUCUGAGAGGAUGACCAGCGACACUGUGACGGAGACACGGUCCAGACUCUUACGGGAGGCAGCAGUGGGGAAUAUUGCACAAUGGGCGCAAGCCUGAUACAGCCAUGCGGAGUGUAUGAAGAAGGCCUUCGGUGUGUAAAGUACUUUCAGCGGGGAGGCGUUACCCGCAGAAGAAGCACCGGCUAACUCCGUGCCAGCAGCCGCGGUAAUUC